UCCCAAAAAUCUUUGAUGAAAUAGUUCUCAAGACUAUAAGUGAUACAUAAAAAUCUUUUUACCGAUACUCAACUGAAUAAAUAUUUGUAUGAUGGCGAGCCUACCAAGCGUUGGCGAGCUUUUUGUGAAAAAAAGAGAAACUUAUGCACGAAUUCGAUGGACAAUACCCCGAUUUACAGCCAGAAAUCACAAAGAAGGGUUCAACAGUGAGGUGUUUACGUUCCAACAAGCCAAGUGGAACCUGCACAUGAAGCAGCAUGGGACAGUGAGAAAUUCGUCAACUUGUGGGAUAUACCUCGAAAGGGGCGACUCCAGGAUUCAAAAGCACACCGCAGGGAUGAGGUGUUCCAUUCUCGAUGAGAGAGGGAAUCGACUAGUCGAGAAAGCAUCCACCGGUGAAUUCAAGGGAGUGCCGAAGAUGUGCGGUUGGCCUGUAUUCGUCGACGAAAGUUGGCUUAGCGACUACUCAGAGCAAAUCCUGCCGAAUGAUAAACUGGUUGUUCUUUUCGAAAUUUGCACGCCGAUUACGUAUACAGAUAAUGAACUUCCAGUCACGCAGCACCAACAUCCAGGUCGCAGAUCGGUCAUCACACAGACGGAUAGUCCACCUGUGGUCGAAGUCAACGAGUGGCCGGCAAAACGACUUCGAAGAAGAAAACUUUAAGAAUGAACAAGAAAAAUAUUUUUAUAGCCAAUGUGGAUCACACCCCGACCGGAUCUGAUUUUACAAAAUGCGUCUACAUUCGAUUUCAAUGUUUC